AGAGGAGAAGGAGGCAUGCUGUUAGUGCCUGAAGAGGGAGAGCCUGUGUGCUGGGAUCUGGAAGCCAGCCAAGCCAGGACAUGCCCUGAUACCCCAACAGAUGACAUCACAGUAGGAGGACAGACUGGAGGACCCCCCCUGCAGCAGAGAAACUGGCAUUUAUGAUGGACAGAUUGGCAGAAGACAGGAAUCCUUAAUGAACUGUAACUGACAACAUCAGUGGAAGUCCUUGUGCUUGCCAAUGGUAGGAUUCAUACACUGUUCACUUAAGCAGAAGUAGUUCUGGUAAAUUCAAACACAAGUGGCUUGAAUUGUAUAAUUUCCAAGAUCCCUUAUUGCGUUAAACAAUAUUUUGAAAUAUUUCCUGUCAACAAAUCUUGAAUAAAUUAAUGCAAUUAGGAUUUAUUA